UUUAUCUAAUGAUUGUUUUUCAUUCAUAACUUCUUGAUCACUGCUGCUGUCAGUUUGUUCAUAUUGAUUAGCCUCGUCUUCCAUAUUUCUGACUUGCUGACUUGGUUGCUGAUCAUGAUUCUUGCAAUGUUCAUUAUAAGCAUUCCUUUGUUCAUCCAAACUGUCAUUUAAAUCAAUCAACGGCUUUUCUUCAUUGCUUUGGCCUUUUCGCUGUUCAGCGACGGUAGAUUCGUCCUUUGUAGGGUCUUCAUGAAAUGAUGGAUAAUCCAUUUAUAAGUAUUAUUAAAUGAAUUACUAUUUAAAAGGGAAAGUAAAGAACCAUUAUAUAACUUUCAAGGUACGAGUCUUUGCGGUGUAAACCUGGUUUAAUCCUCGUAUUGUGCAGUCGACAGACAACCUCAACCGAUAGAAGGGGUACUUUAUGUUGACGGACUAGGUAGAUACAUUUUAUCAUAAAAAUAUAGCUUUAUUUGCUAAAUAAGAUUUUAAAAUAGCGAGAUAUACAAUGCUAUAAGUUAGUUUCUAAUGAACACAAUGCCAACGCUAAGCCAUUUCAAGGGGACACUUAUCAUGUCCAUUAUACAUUGCUUAAAAAAAAGUAUUAGUAAGAGAUGUAUAUGUUAAAUGAAAACACGGUAAAAAAGAGAAUUUUUCUACUUAUUAUUUACGAACAUUGCUGUGUUAAAAACUAAACCAAUUUAAAUAAACUUAACGAUUUUAUUAGGUGUUUUAUAGAUGUCAAACUAAAAUUAACAAAUAAAUACCAAAGAAAUUACCUACCCAGUUGGCAAUACCAAUUAGAAAUUAACAGAACCGCACGAACUUCGUGAAAGGCGGUGAAAAAAUAGCAUCGACUAAUCGCAUCCUUUAACAAAAAUGCGUUGAGCAUUCGAGACAGAUGUUAAGCGUUGAAAAUUUGAAGAAACUAAACAUAAAUAUCUGCCGAAAUGCGAAUUACGAUUUUUAUUAUCUCCCAUAUGAUUUUUAAACUUUGCUUUCCUUCGAAUCAAAAAUGUGGGUUUUGACUGUUGAAAGUCUGGGAUUAGCGACGAACCAAACCGGAAAUAUCAUGGCACCAGCAAAACCAGUUGCGACACUCGUCAAAAUCUUUUGGACUUCACUAUAAGAAAGAAUGAUGGCAUUUCUAGCGUCAGUGCCUCUAGUAUAACUUAAUUGGACGGUUAAACUCUCAAAAAUGGUAUAUGCUUGGUCUUUCAAGUCGCUUGGUAGAUUCUUUUCUAAACGCUUGGGCAUCACGCUGUUCCAGAUUGCACCCGAUAUAGCACUUCCAACAGCACCACCGAUGGGUGUAACGGUACUAACAAGGGCUGUGACAAUAGCAAAAUUCUCAGUGCUGACAACAGUUUGAACAGCGACAGUAAGUAGAUUUGCAAUAACACCACCACCAAUACCAACGAUAAUUUGAGGCAUAAUUUGAUAACCCCAAUUAUAUUGCUCGCCUCUGUAUCGAAUCAUUAAACCUUGGCCAAGAAUGUAAACAGGAAUUGAAGCAACAAAGUACCAUUUGUAUCUCUUAGUAAGACGAAUGAGAAUUCCCAAAAAGAAUCCGGUUGCACAAGAAGUGAAUGAG
rnacentral:lncRNA from 1 species